UGUGUUGAGUAAGUUGCUGGAUAUCCUGAC
rnacentral:piRNA from 1 species